UACGUAGGGGGCAAGCGUUGUCCGGAAUCAUUGGGCGUAAAGCGCACGUAGGCGGGUUGUUAAGUCAGGGGUGAAAUCCUGGAGCUCAACUCCAGAACUGCCUUUGAUACUGGCAACCUAGAGGCUGGAAGAGGUUAGUGGAAUUCCCAGUGUAGAGGUGAAAUUCGUAGAUAUUGGGAAGAACACCAGUGGCGAAGGCGGCUAACUGGUCCAGAUCUGACGCUGAGGUGCGAAAGCGUGGGGAGCGAACAGG
rnacentral:rRNA from 1 species